GGCAAUUAAACAUAGUCUCUAAGAUUAUUAGGUGCAAGGACUCGCACCUUUACAAGCACCUGGAGAAACUUCAGGCCGAGGAUUGCUUUUUCGUUUACCGGAUGGUUGUGGUGCUAUUCAGAAGGGAAUUGACAUUUGAACAGACGCUAUGUCUGUGGGAAGUGAUAUGGGCUGACCAGGCAGCCAUAAGGGCUGGAAUAGGGAAAUCUGCAUGGAGCCGGAUAAGGCAACGAGCUCCACCAACAGAUGAUUUACUGCUUUAUGCGAUCGCUGCUUCAGUACUGCAGAGAAGAAAACUGAUCAUAGAGAAGUAUAAUAGCAUGGAUGAAAUUCUGAGGGAAUGUAAUAGCAUGGCUGGGCACCUUGAUGUGUGGAAGCUUCUCGAUGGUGCACACGAUUUGGUGGUAACCUUACACGAUAAGAUAGAGACGUCCUUCCAGUAAGUGACGGGUUUAUUUCCAUCUUCAUUUCCAUUCCAGC
rnacentral:misc_RNA from 1 species